AACGAACGCUGGCGGCAUGCCUAACACAUGCAAGUCGAACGAGAUCUUCGGGUCUAGUGGCGCACGGGUGCGUAACGCGUGGGAAUCUGCCCUUUGGUUCGGAAUAACAGUUGGAAACGACUGCUAAUACCGGAUGAUGACGAAAAUCCAAAGAUUUAUCGCCAGAGGAUGAGCCCGCGUAGGAUUAGCUAGUUAGUGUGGUAAAGGCGCACCAAGGCGACGAUCCUUAGCUGGUCUGAGAGGAUGAUCAGCCACACUGGGACUGAGACACGGCCCAGACUCCUACGGGAGGCAGCAGUGGGGAAUAUUGGACAAUGGGCGAAAGCCUGAUCCGGCAAUGCCGCGUGAGUGAUGAAGGCCUUAGGGUUGUAAAGCUCUUUUACCCGGGAUGAUAAUGACAGUACCGGGAGAAUAAGCUCCGGCUAACUCCGUGCCAGCCGCCGCCGUAA
rnacentral:rRNA from 1 species